rnacentral:rRNA from 1 species
ACGGGUGAGUAACACGUGGGUAACCUGCCUCAAAGAGGGGGAUAGCCUCCCGAAAGGGAGAUUAAUACCGCAUAACAUUGGUUUUUCGCAUGGGAAACUAAUUAAAGGAGUAAUCCGCUUUGAGAUGGACCCGCGGCGCAUUAGCUAGUUGGUGAGGUAACGGCUCACCAAGGCGACGAUGCGUAGCCGACCUGAGAGGGUGAUCGGCCACAUUGGAACUGAGACACGGUCCAGACUCCUACGGGAGGCAGCAGUGGGGAAUAUUGCACAAUGGGCGAAAGCCUGAUGCAGCAACGCCGCGUGAGUGAUGAAGGCCUUCGGGUUGUAAAGCUCUGUCUUUUGGGACGAUAAUGACGGUACCAAAGGAGGAAGCCACGGCUAACUACGUGCCAGCAGCCGCGGUAAUACGUAGGUGGCAAGCGUUGUCCGGAUUUACUGGGCGUAAAGGAUGCGUAGGCGGACUUUUAAGUGAGAUGUGAAAACCCCGGGCUCAACUUGGGGACUGCAUUUCAAACUGGAAGUCUAGAGUGCGGGAGAGGAAAGUGGAAUUCCUAGUGUAGCGGUGAAAUGCGUAGA